rnacentral:rRNA from 1 species
AUUGAACGCUGGCGGCAGGCCUAACACAUGCAAGUCGAACGAGUGGCGGACGGGUGAGUAAUGUCUGGGCAACUGCCCGAUGGAGGGGGAUAACUAAUGGAAACGGUAGCUAAUACCGCAUACCAUCGGAUGUGCCCAGAUGGGAUUAGCUUGCAGGUGGGGUAACGGCUCACCUAGGCGACGAGCCCUAGCUGGUCUGAUAGGAUGACCAGGCACACUGGAACGGAGACACGGUCCAGACUCCUACGGGAGGCAGCAGUGGGGAAUAGUGCAAAAUGGGCGCAAGCCUGAUGCAGACAGGCCGCGUGUAUGAAGAAGGCCUUCGGGUUGUAAAGUACUUUCAGCGGGGAGGCGUUACCCGCAGAAGAAGCACCGGCUAACUCCGUGCCAGCAGCCGCGGUAAUAC